CCAAUUUCAGGGAUCGUCUCCAGGCUGCGGAUUUGAUAUCACUCGGUGCAACCAGAACUUCAGGCUUUCAGACUCACUUAUGACAAUACUGUUCAGUGAUUCAACCAAUCUAGAUGUGCUAACCGAACCAUAUUCACCCAUUCCUGUAAAACGUUUCAGGUUCCGUGAUUAGCCAACACCAACACCUCUUCCAUGAACGUUAUUGGUGAGCUCACUGCUGUGAAAAGUACAGUGAGUGACAUUUAGUCUAGCGAGUUAUGGGACUAUUAAGAUCGACAGUAAUAUCUCUGUCACUUUGAGUCUGAUUGACUCACAAGAUGUCUCUUUUCACAAGAAACUUGAAGGAUUCCUGGGAGAUCCAAGGGUUGUUGCAAUUAGCAUAAACCCAAAGAUGGACGUUUGUUCUUGAAUGCCACCUCGGGAACACAUUUAUUUUCCGACAAGGCAACUGAUGCAGGGGAAAUUCAAUUUUAGGACACAUGCUGGUUUCCAAAGCCAUUGGGAUCACCCCUGUUUCAUCAUUGCUGAGAGGCUAUGCAAAGGUUGAGCCUCUUACUAUAGCUGAGCUCAAUGAGUUUGUCAUCAUUUCCGAGCCUCAGGUU